UGUCAAUACUGUCCUGGGAGAGUUGAAGAGACAGGAAAACCUGCUGCUUGUUGGGUUUGCAUCCGCUUUUCAGAAGUUCUGCUUGAGCAGGCGCCUCUCCUGCCUGAUAAGAUCUCACCGAGUGCUUAUCUGAUAAGUGGCAGCUGCUGCCGACUUACGUUUAAUUGACAAUUUCUUGUCAACUAAACUGAAGUGCAUUAUCAGAAAACUCUUGGGACUUUCAUUCACAAUUUAACACACUGACCCGGACUCUGAGCUUGCUGGUGGAAUGCAUUUGUUUAGCAGCUGCAAAUCCGCAAAGCCAAGCAAUCGCCUCCUCAUUAACUGAGUUCAAAAUUAUUAAUCCACCUCUUUGUUUGUAGACAGGGCACUCCUUGGUGAUGUGUAGCAUUGUUUGCAUCUCUCCACAAGUUCAUGAUGAGUUGGCACGGAGGCGCCAGCUGUGAAGGUUGGCUGUGCAGAGGCCUUGGCCUGUCCUGAACCUGUUUAGCAGCGACCACUCUCACGGAGAAUACCACUGACCCUAGAGGAUAUCCCACCUCUCUCUCUCUACUUCAAUGAGUACCUCUAAUUUCUGCGGGUUUUUUUGCAUUAUGUUUAUUAUUAUUUUUAAGAACCCCAAAUUAUAAAGAAAAUAGAGGAGAAAUCUUGAAUUAAAAAUUACAUCACUAUGAAACCAUUUUUGGUUUGGUGUGACUCAUAACACCUCACUUAAAAAUAUAUCCUGCUGUCACAUUAAAUUCAGUGGCAAAGACAUGGGAACCAUAACCCAGGCUAACAUUUUGGAAAGAGAAGAACCACGUGUUGCAUUUUUACAGUCAGCCUUAGACUGUCUUAUGCUAAAAACAGUCUCAUGAGGAUGGAAGAACUCUGAGAAAUAUAUACAAAGUGGAAACUUGAGAUUUUCAUUUUAUUGAAGGAUGCCAACUGAAGGAAAACAUCCUUGUUCCCCGAACAGCAGGCAAAGACAUUAACACCUGAGAUUCUAUUUAACCCUUUUUAUGGCUGUUUCACUUCUGUACCUUAACUGAAUGUGGUAGGACAUUUUAGUACAUUCUUCACAUACUGGGAUGUCUGCAGUAAAAUGGAAGCAAGCUUACAGAAUAAGGCAGCCCUAGAACUGCAUUUUGCAAUGGCCAAUAUAUUAAGCAAUACCCAAGGGGUUACAAGCAAGAAGUCAGUGAUCCGGGACUCCAUUUCUUCAUAGUUAAAAAUACAAGUGCAUAUUUCUCUAGUGUGUAUUACAGCCUGGCACCCAGCAACCACACCACCCAACUUAUCAAUGCAAAUAAACAAGAGCCUUUAUCAAACCAGAACUGCGUCCAACAGAAUUUCUCUAAACAUGUACAUAUGACAAAUCUGUGCUCACAGGGCUCUGAAACAGAGCCAAAAUAAGUCUCUGUCUCCUCCCUGCAUGCACUGAGGAGCUUUAACCCUCCAAGGAGAGAAAACUAGCUGAGAGAAUCUCUGCUUUUCUAUGAAAUGCAUGGACUGUUAUUGUCUCUGGCCUCCCUGCAAAGUCAGCAUGGAAGGGGACUCUCCUAACCUACCUACAUACGUGACAGCCACAACCCAGACCCCAGUGUCUGUAUUAACACCAGGCUCAAGUCAUUCCAACCUCAGGUCCACUGCACUGAGCUGACGCUAUCUAAGACGAAGAGGAACCACACAGAAAUUUACAGAAGAAUCUAAUCUUCCUCGCAGUUCAAAGGGAUUUGGAAUAUGCCAUCCUCCUAAUUUCAGCACUGAUCUGAAGAUGUAAAUGACUGCAAUAUCAUUCUCAUGAAAUUCAUUUCCUCUAACUCCUGCCCAGCUGGUAAGUUUCUGUCUGCUUAAGACCUCGUGAUCUACUGUUAUUCAGGAACUUUGCCACAUUACAUUGCAUUUACCGGUCACAUUUUACUCAGCUGUCUUCUCCAAUUGAGGUUGUCAAGCAGACGAUUAUAAACAGGAACUAAGUCCUAUAGGUAACAUUGUCUACGCACUUAAAACCACAGUGAAGUCACUCAGCAUUGACAUGAGAACCUGUUGUUAGGUUCAGAGAUGCAGGUGGCUCAUGAGCAGAAUCUGCUGCAAGAAGAGCAAAUUCAGAGUUUUAUUUAAAAUACAUUGUCCAGAAUUUGGAGAACAAAGAUAGCUGGGACUAAAUCUACCUUUCAAGUGGUAGGAAAUCUCUCUGAAAUCAAUGAUAAGAUAAUUAUUUCAAUUGACAUAAGAUCAGAAUAUUAAUUCUUCCAAGUCACUUUUCUGCAAACUGUGCUCAAAGAUUAUGGGUCCAUUGGACAAACUGUUCAUCUGCCUGGGUAAAAUUUUCCCACUGGCUGUAACAAGGCCUAUAAUUUACUUAAGUGAAGUCACGUGCUGGUCCUGUGCAGAGGGGUGAUUUUCACCACAGAAGCAAGAAGCUUUGCAUAUUCACGUUCCACCGACUUAAAAACCACAAUUUUCCCUGUAGCACUCUUCCAUCUCCCCCCACCCAGAAAAGAUCCAAAAAUAAAAACUCUGUAGUUCUUCCUUAUGGGUAUGGAUUUUCUUUUUAGGGUAGCACGUCAUACUGCCACCCAUCAACGUAUCUAAAUACAAAUUCCCUGAAUAAACUGAGAAAGCAGAAGAUUUUAUAGUGUAUUUAUAAAGUGCAAAAACAGCACUGCAGUAACUAAACAUAUCUGGCCCACACAAAUUCUUGAAGAACCAGGGUCAGACACAGAUCUCUGUCACCCAUGUUAAGCGCAAGUAAGCUCGACUGGAGUUUUUCUGAAUUUCCAUUGCCAUAAAGAUGAGAAUCUGGUCAACAAUACUUCGUAAACCCUAUAAUCCUGCUUUUCUUCACUAUCCUAGUUCACACUGCCAAACCAGAAUUUAGCCUACACCAAAUGCAGAGAUUGAUGCUUGUGAGGGCUGAGUCAUCAGUAGGUUUCUGCUUUGUAACGGACAGCUAUUUUUAAUUUAUUUUUGUUCCAUCUUUAAAUGCAAUGCUUCAGCAAUAUGCUGAAGGUGAGAUUUUAGUCAUAUAUGCUGUUGUUCAUUAUCUAUAACCUUGCACCAUAACUCGUGAUGAACCAAAACGAACUGGAAACUGGAGGCCCCUUUAAACAUAAAAAAUAAAGAUCGUACAAGAAUGUGCAAACACAUCAGGUUAAUGUGAUGUGUUAUAUUGAAUUUCUCAUAAUGGUGAUUAAGAGGUGCUAUGAACUAGCAUUUUCUUUCUCUUUAUUCUGUCACCAAAACUUCAGCUGCUCCCUGACAAAGCGUUAUCUUUCCAUCCAAUUAUACAACAUUCAGUUGCACUCAAAACAUUGAUUUAAAUCUAACUUCCCUGCUUUCUGAUAUAUAUCAGAAUUAAGCCUGUGGUUUAAAUCAUCCAUUUCAUUUUUCAGUUGUACUUUUUAGUUAUUUUCCUAAAGAUAGGUUGAUUCUCAUAGGUUGAUAAUAAAAGAAUGCUGAUUUUUAACUAAAGCUAUCACCUUCAGCGUAGUCUCCUUCUUUUUGCUAAUCACACAAACACCAUUUAUCUAGUUACAUUUAUGUAAGCAAUUAUACAAUGUAACAUACAUUUUACUGAUUCUUAAUGUUUACAUUUUUAUUGUCAGAAAAUGAUGAAUAAUAUGUUCUAAGUGAUGAUUAAUUUUUUACUUGCAGUUUGCAUCAAGCUCUAUUUUGAUGGAAAGUGGAAUUGGAUUAAGAAAGCACCAAAUCAGCAUUUACAUUUUUUCUCAGUUAAAACUAUGUUGUAUGUGCUGGAUACCUACAGAAAAGGUAACUGUUGCAAAAUGUUUUUUGCAUUUUAAAUUCAUUGAUCACCAAGUUCUUCAAGGUUUCAGAACUACAAAAUCCUGUCCUCUCAUGUCAUGCUUUUAUUCAUAGUUUGGAAUAGAAAAUAGAGGCUUUCCUGAUUUUUUCAACUCAUAAUCAGUUUCUCAACUUUGAAAGAAACAGUCAUUGAGGAACUUAACUAGCUGACUACGCUAUACUGAACAAGAUAUUCUCUCUGAACCUGCAGAAGGAGCUUACUGCUGUCAAAAGCUGGUUGAACACUUAACCAAACUCUGGUUCCAGAAGCUUCACAAAUUACUUCCACCAGGAUGUCAUUUCAAGAAUUUCACUUUCUUUAAACUAAAGUAAAAAUUAAGACAUAAGUAUUUGAUUUUUUUAAUGAGUUUAGUAGAUUAUAGUAACUGUAUGCAUUCAUAUAGGUUGUCAUAAAUAUAAAUUAUAAAUAAGUUGCUUAUAUAAAAUUAAAGCGUGUAUUUAAUUUACAUUUAAAAAUCCCAUUACAAAUAAAAGUUAAUUGAAAUAAAAUAUCUGGCACUUUUUAAGUUUGAUUUUGUUAUCUGUGUUGGCUUCACUGAAUAUUAUUUAAUAUUUUACACUAAUAAAGUGCCUGAGGGCCAAAAUCAACAUCUGGGAACCGAGGAACAGGCCUCUGUCCAAACAUAUACAAGCAAGACAUGGUCCAUAAAUCUUAAAAGUCUAACUCCGGGUCUUGGAAGCACACAUAUAUAUAUAUAGUCACCAUUUUGUGAGAGGGGAGGGAAAAGAGAAUAUUAAGACAAGUAGCCAACAGGCUUCAGGGGCAUGGUGAAGCUGACAAAAAAAAUAGCCAGGGAAUGGGCAGGAGAAUUGGUCCUAGUGGAAAGACCAAGAAUGUAGGGGUAGCUGCGUUCAGCUUAAAUGGAUGGCGAUACAUCUGAGAAACAGGUUGAGAUGCAAUAUGGGAUGGACAGGGACAAGGAAUGGAGAAGCUGUGAACCAUCUCACAGCAUAAAGAUGGCAGACCAAACCAAGUGGAAGAGAUCACCCAGAGAGAGGGCAUGGAGAGAUGAGAUAUUAUUGGUAUAAAAAGGGAAAAUAUCCACAAAGUCUUUUUUCAACAUAACAUUUAAGGAAUUCAGAAUUCCCCGGCUCUCAACAGCUGGCACAUUUUACUCUAUAGGGUCAUAUAAGACUAUAGGGAGAUUUUCUCCCUUUUGUUUAUGUUCCUGAUAUAUAUUUACAUCUGCAAAUCCAAAUGAAUAUAGUUUGUGAGACUCGCACCCAGCCUGUUAAUCCCUGUGUUUGGCCCAGCUAGCUUCUUUUACGUUCUGUAUUGCAAAACCAUGACCUUUCUGAAUAACACAGCACUCCAUAAAAAGCCAAAAAAGUAACAGAAGAAAAGCAGAGCCAAAACCAAACUCCAGAUCCAAAUGCUUCCAUCCAACUGGAAGUUGGAUCUGAAUUCUGCAGGUGCUUCUUAACUGAGCUUGCAUCAAAGUACUCCUGAUUCUGGGGGUAACCGGAGGUUAACUUCACACCUGGCAACAUGAGACCAUUUCUAGAGAGUCCAGGUAACAGCAUGGCACGCUCAUCAGUCCCCAUGCCUGCCAGAAGGAAAAAUGCCUUCAGGCCACACAAAUCUACACCGUUCAAGUGAUUGAAUUUGAUUGUGAUUGUUCAAGUGAUUGUAUUUUGAAAACAUUUUUCCUGGGAUGGUUUUACCUUCCUCACCAGUGGCUGUUGGGUUACCAAGGCACUGUGGCAGCUACAGACAAACGCACACACGUGCAACACAACUGCUUUCACUAAUGCACUGAAACCCGUUGGACACUUUGUCCAGCCCAGCACCAGGCAAAACCUCACUCAGGAACCACCAAAACUUGCUGAAUGGACGGAAGAGAGAGAAACUGGAGACCUCCUGUCUGCACACACAGACUGCAAAGAGGAGCUUUAGAAGUGGAAUAUAUUUAACCCCAUGACUGCCUAAACCAUUUCUAUUAAAACCACCAAAUAUCCUGAGUGACUGAAACGGCAAGAAUUACACCCAGUUCCUGUGGGUAACAUGCACACUUUAACCAGAUCAAAAUCUUGAAAGCAACCCCGGUUGAAUGAGAAAAACAAGAAAAACUGUGUCACUUGUAAUAACCAUUUUUCUUUCCUGCUUCCUUCACUACAGACAGCAAAUACAAGGCCAAGCUUUCCUCAGGCUGACUUUAAGUUUGGUCUGAAGCUGUCAUUUGCUUGCACAAGCAAGCAUGAAUUUUCUUUUCUAGUCUUUCCCCCCUUCCCCACUUCACUGCAGCAAGAAAACCUAACCUUUUUAGGCUCUGUUCACCCCCACCCUUACAUUUCAGCUACCCCCUCAUAAAAAAAAGACAAGGUGUCCAGCAGAAAAUAAAGACAAGCUGUUAAGCUCUAGCCCUGCCAGCCUUCACUGCACCUCUCCUCUCAGCCCAGCCCCCUGCCAGCAAGGACCACUGGGAAUAAAGGGUCGCGCCUCAAUGCGUCACAGCCUCUCAGGUAAGAGGCCCCAGGGACGCAGACUGUAGCCACAGGCAAAAGGAAUCCCAACUCGUGGCAGAGGCUACCAGUAUUCUGACGUUUGUGCCUUGGGAAUCUUGGCUGAAAGGCACUGAAGACAUCCCGUUUUAAUUGCUGAACCUUGCCCCAAAUAGAAACUACAGAGCAGAGAAAAGUGACUGAUAAUGAGAACACUGAUGCAGGGAUGGAUGUGCCUUCAGCUAAAGAGAAUUAAAAUCUAGGUUUUAGCCCCGUCACUGCAUCAGAUUCAUUGUGUGAACUGAGGUAAGUCACUUAAAUUUCCCGAGCCUCCUUCUUUCUGUCUGCAGAGUGGAUGUUACUAAUGCAUGGGUUCUUGGGAACAUUCCUAUAUUGACUGUAGACAGCUCUUUCAAGAUCCUUGGUUGGAAGUUGCAAUGUUCAACCUAUUACUGAUUGUCCUUCAAGUCUUUGUACCGCUAGGUGGCAACCUAAGCUUUGCGAAGUUAUGGUUAGAUUGAAUUUUGUGCUAGACACUAUAAGAGACAAGAACAAAGUACAGUCUGUGUGAUCUGGCAGCAAUACUACUUGAGUCCUGAUGUUGAUACAUAAAGUCAAGAACCAAAACCUUCAUUUAGUCAUUUUGGGCAUAAACAUCAGGCAACAUCAUAACUUGAAGACAACUAAUAGAAGAAAAUUGCAAGAUGACCCACAGAAGUCAAUCAGCCCUCUGGCCACUGCAACCAUUUUGAAGAUGCUGCUGCUGCUCCUGUACAGUGGGCUAAGGUAAUAAGUUUGCCAAAGUUGGAGUGGAUUGUGCUGUGUUCAUUACGCUAUUUCCAUUGUUUUUCAGGAGGAGUGUUUCUAUGGGACUUUUAAGACUUUGUUUUUCCUUUCACCUACUUUCAAUGAUGAGCUGCACUUGGCAAUCUUUCAGUCAUUGUUAAGCUUAACUAUACAAAGCAGCAAAUGCGGAAUUCUGUCUCCCAAAAUACAGUCUGUUAUCUGUUAUCUUUUGAACAAGUUGUCUCAAUUAAAUGGCGGCUUUUCAGCUGAGUGCUUUGUCAUUAAUCAAUGAGAGUUUUCCUCCCAAAUA